GAUGAACGCUGGCGGCGUGCCUAAUACAUGCAAGUCGAGCGAACAGAUGAGGAGCUUGCUCCUCUGACGUUAGCGGCGGACGGGUGAGUAACACGUGGAUAACCUACCUAUAAGACUGGGAUAACUUCGGGAAACCGGAGCUAAUACCGGAUAAUAUAUUGAACCGCAUGGUUCAAUAGUGAAAGACGGUUUUGCUGCCACUUAUAGAUGGAUCCGCGCCGCAUUAGCUAGUUGGUAAGGUAACGGCUUACCAAGGCAACGAUGCGUAGCCGACCUGAGAGGGUGAUCGGCCACACUGGAACUGAGACACGGUCCAGACUCCUACGGGAGGCAGCAGUAGGGAAUCUUCCGCAAUGGGCGAAAGCCUGACGGAGCAACGCCGCGUGAGUGAUGAAGGUCUUUGGAUCGUAAAACUCUGUUAUUAGGGAAAACAAAUGUGUAAGUAACUAUGCACGUCUUGACGGUACCUAAUCAGAAAGCCACGGCUAACUACGUG
rnacentral:rRNA from 1 species